rnacentral:rRNA from 1 species
CACGUAGGGCGCAAGCGUUUGUCCGGAAUUAUUGGGCGUAAAGAGCUCGUAGGCGGUCUGUUACGUCUGCUGUGAAAACCCAGGGCUUAACCUGGGCUUGCAGUGGAUACGGGCAGACUAGAGGCAGGUAGGGGAGAAUGGAAUUCCCGGUGUAGCGGUGAAAUGCGCAGAUAUCGGGAGGAACACCGGUGGCGAAGGCGGUUCUCUGGGCCUGACCUGACGCUGAGGAGCGAAAGCGUGGGGAGCGAACAGG